rnacentral:misc_RNA from 1 species
GGGAGAACUACCUGGUUUGAAGAAACCAAGCUUAAAUUUCCCAUUUGAAGAGAUAAUUGUUUGGUCUCCAGAAAGGGAUUGAUUUGCGGAAAUGGUGUCAGCAGCUUCAAUGGAGAGAUGGGUUUUGAGAGAGAGACAUAGGUACAACAAAGAAAAGAGGAGAAAAGAAUUGUUUUUGAUCUCCAUGGCUGCUCAGAGAUUGUGCAGAGGACAGAGAGAUUUAUAUCACUUUUUG